rnacentral:lncRNA from 1 species
CUCCAAGCCUUGAUGAGCGUAGACUCAAAGCGAUGCUGCUUCUCCUAGGCAAGGCGAGCUUACUCCCCGGCGUGCUCCUUCGCGUACUAAGCUAUCACUAGUUCUGACUCCACUAUGGCCCUUCCCUGCUUGGUGUUGAGGGUUUUGCACUCAGCCGCCACUAUCCUCUACAGGUAGGCCACAAGAAUAGUUCCCUUACUUUCGUCCUCCCAUUCA